UACGAAGGGGACUAGCGUUGUUCGGAAUCACUGGGCGUAAAGCGCACGUAGGUGGAAUCGUAAGUCAGGGGUGAAAUCCCGGGGCUCAACCUCGGAACUGCCUUUGAUACUGCGGCUCUUGAGUCCGAUAGAGGUGGGUGGAAUUCCUAGUGUAGAGGUGAAAUUCGUAGAUAUUAGGAAGAACACCGGUGGCGAAGGCGGCCCACUGGAUCGGUACUGACACUGAGGUGCGAAAGCGUGGGGAGCAAACAGG
rnacentral:rRNA from 1 species